ensembl:lncRNA novel transcript
AGCGGCCAACAGUUUCCCUUAGGCCGCGACAGGAAAUGUGUGCGGAGCGCUGCCAGGCCCGGUGCAGCCCUGAGUUAUUCUGGGGUCAGGAACACAGCUGGCGCCGGGUACAGGGGACGCAGUCGACUAGAAGGUCAAACACCCUGCUUAGAGCAAGAGGAGAAAUUCGCCACUGGGAUGAAGUGUGUGGUUUUUCUCCGUUCAGGGAGUUUCAUCAGGACCGCAGAACCCAUAACACUAGCUCUGUCACUGUCUUCCCCAAACAAGGCUGAAGCUGUGCUGCAUAUUCUUACCUAGCCUAGGAAGUCAUAAAACAUCACUCUGCUUCAUUCUGUUGGAUACUGAUGAGUCAAAACUUGCCAUUUUCAAAGGAAAAGAAUGCAGACACCUCUUAAAAGAGCAGGUAGUUAGAAUGCAACACUGGAAGAAUGUGAGUUUGAGACUAGAAAGAAAAAUUGAGGUAGCAUUCAUAUGGCAACUUCAUAUGACUUGAUGUGAGUAAAAGAGAUUUCUGCUGGAGGAUGGGGAAGUGGUCUGCAUGAGACAAAAGCUAAAAUUAUAACUUUGGGGAACUUUUGGAGGCUGAGGUCAGAGAAAUCUAAGGAGUUUCUAGUGCAGAGUCCUAGAAAUAAAAGGUGAAGAGAUUUUUGGUGCCUGAUCCCUCGUGUAAGAAACAUAAAAGUCUUCACUACAUCCUAACAGUAAGUAAAAAGCUGAACAAAC